UACGGAGGGUGCAAGCGUUAUCCGGAUUCACUGGGUUUAAAGGGCGCGUAGGCGGCUUUGCAAGUGGCGGGUGAAAUCCCUCGGCUUAACCGAGGAACUGCCUGUCAAACUGCAUGGCUUGAGACCAGGAGAGGUGAGUGGAAUUCCCAGUGUAGCGGUGAAAUGCGUAGAUAUUGGGAGGAACACCAGUGGCGAAGGCGGCUCACUGGACUGGUACUGACGCUGAUGCGCGAAAGCGUGGGGAGCAAACAGG
rnacentral:rRNA from 1 species